UCACGGUGAGGGUAAACCUGGUAUCUAGAGACAACCCAAACGCUGCCAGGAUUUAAAGAAUGGUGAGACUGAGAUGACUCUGGGGAAAAGUGCCUGCCACCAACCCUGAAGACCUGAGCUUGAUUCCCAGGAUCCGCAUAAUGGAAGGCAGAGAGUGAUCUUGAACUCCCGAUGCUACUGAAGCCAUCUCAGACCUCCUGAGUGCCCGACCUACAAGCAUGUAAGCACUGCCGUGCCGUUUAUGUGGCUGUGCUCUAUGUGUUUACGUGUUUUACGUCAACUUGAAACCAUCAAGGGUCAUUCUGGAAGAGGGACCCUCGAUUGAGAAACUGGUCUGGAGGUCCAAGCUCGCUGUGAGCAGUGCCACCGGUUGGUCCUGGGUGCUAUAAAGAAGCAGGCUGAGCAAGUCACGAGGAGCAAGCCAGGAUGGCUUCAGCUCCGGUGUCUGUCUCGUUGAUUUCUCUUCUUGCUGCAUGUCCCCAUCACAUGACCUGCCCCCUCUCAACAACUCAACAAGCUCUCACUAUGCAUCUCUGGUUGGCUUGGAACACCUGCCUCUGGCUCCCUAGCACUGGCAUCAAAGAGUCAAGGACGACCUUAAAUUCCUGGUCCUCCUGUCCUGCAUGUACCUUCUAAGUGCUGGGAAUGAAGGUUGGCACCACAUGAGGUGCUAAGGAGCCAACCCUGGACUUCACGCAUACUAGGCAAGUGCGCUACCAAUCACUGUCCAUCCCCAGCCCCUCCACAUCCCUGUCAUUUGUACCUCAGACCUGGUUAACCACCAACUCUCUCUUACCCUCUCUGCCCUUGAGACCAGCCAUACUGGUCCCACUCUGCCUUCUAGCUACCCCUUCCUUCACAUUCCAACCAUCUCAUUGUGUAGUUUCCCCACAUCUCCCAGCCACUCCAUCAUUCCCUGUGUCCUCAGGCCCUGGGAUCCUUUGUGUUUAAAUCAAGUCCUGUUUCCUCCUAACAUGCUUGUGAUGAUCUCAAAAGCUUUGUUAGACACACCCCAAAGAAGCAGCUCCAAGGUUCCUGGCUAGUUUUCAGGGGCCCUGAGCACCUGAUGGUUCCAACCUCCUCUAAUCUCAGUCAACUCUACCAGAAUUCACCAGGGCCCACUCUCAGAAUGGUCUCAAGUUGGACGAACAGAAUGAGACAAGCUCAGUGGGUACAGUGCUUGCCUACCGUUUGCAAGGGCCUGGAUUGCAUCGUCAACACUGCAUAAACUGGGUACAUUGAUGCAAGCAACACUCUGGAAUUAAGAGGCAGGAAGAUCAGGAGUUCAAGGCCAUCCUUGGCUACCCAGAAAGUAUGAGGGCAGCCUGGGGUACAUUAUACCCUGCCUUAAAAGUAAUAAUAGCA